rnacentral:rRNA from 1 species
UAGUCCACGCCGUAAACGAUGGUCACUAGUUGUUGGGGCUUUAUGCCUCAGUGAUUAAGCGAAAGUGAUAAGUGACCCACCUGGGGAGUACGAUCGCAAGAUUGAAACUCAAAGGAAUUGACGGGGGCCCGCACAAGCGGUGGAGCAUGUGGUUUAAUUCGAUGAUACGCGAGGAACCUUACCAGGGCUUAAAUGUAGAGUGACAGACUGAGAGAUCGGUUUUUCUUCGGACACUUUACAAGGUGCUGCAUGGUUGUCGUCAGCUCGUGCCGUGAGGUGUCAGGUUAAGUCCUAUAACGAGCGCAACCCCUGUUGUUAGUUGCCAGCAUGUAAAGAUGGGAACUCUAACAAGACUGCCGGUGCAAACCGUGAGGAAGGUGGGGAUGACGUCAAAUCAUCACGGCCCUUACGUCCUGGGCUACACACGUGCUACAAUGGCCGGUACAGAGGGCAGCCACUACGCGAGUAGGAGCGAAUCCUUAAAACCGGUCUCAGUUCGGA